rnacentral:siRNA from 1 species
UCAAAUGAGUUGAUGAGUCAA